rnacentral:lncRNA from 1 species
CUCCGGUCUUCCGUUUUGAGUUCACUGACCUAUGACAUUGAAAUUGAGAUCAAGGUCGAAGGUCAAGGUCAUGUUAUAAAUUUUGAAUUUUACUUGUUAUCGUUAUUCAAACGAAACUGUUACAGUUAAUGAUAUGAUUUGUUUGCCAAAUUACUGUUUACAAAAAGGCGCAACUUCAACCUAUUUCAGUCGAAGUGUUUUGGUUAACCCUUAUAGGAGUUUUCUCCCCUUAUGUAUUUGAAAUCAGUAUUUCUCCACAACCAUAAAAAUGAUUGACCUGGGGUCUUUUGAUUUGAGAUCACUGACCUAUGACCUUGAAAUUGAGGUCAAGGUCAAAGGUCAAUUUGACGUUCUAGAUUUUGACAUUUGCUAAAAAUUAUUUUCUGUUCAUACUAAAACAAUUAAGUCUUCUGCAUAUACCUAUAAAUCUUUUUUUUU